GAUUCCAUAGUGUAAUGGUUUGCACACGAAGCCCCUAAACAGGGAUUCGUAGUUCGAGUUCAAUUCUCGAUGGAGUCU